GACGAACGCUGGCGGCGUGCCUAAUACAUGCAAGUAGAACGCUGAAGCUUGGUGCUUGCACCGAGCGGAUGAGUUGCGAACGGGUGAGUAACGCGUAGGUAACCUGCCUGGUAGCGGGGGAUAACUAUUGGAAACGAUAGCUAAUACUGCAUAAGAGUAGAUGUUGCAUGACAUUUGCUUAAAAGGUGCAAUUGCAUCACUACCAGAUGGACCUGCGUUGUAUUAGCUAGUUGGUGAGGUAACGGCUCACCAAGGCAACGAUACAUAGCCGACCUGAGAGGGUGAUCGGCCACACUGGGACUGAGACACGGCCCAGACUCCUACGGGAGGCAGCAGUAGGGAAUCUUCGGCAAUGGACGGAAGUCUGACCGAGCAACGCCGCGUGAGUGAAGAAGGUUUUCGGAUCGUAAAGCUCUGUUGUAAGAGAAGAACGAGUGUGAGAGUGGAAAGUUCACACUGUGACGGUAUCUUACCAGAAAGGGACGGCUAACUACGUG
rnacentral:rRNA from 1 species